AUGAACGCUAGCGGCAGGCCUAACACAUGCAAGUCGAGGGGUAGAAGCCUUCGGGCUUUGAGACCGGCGCACGGGUGCGUAACGCGUAUGCUAUCUGCCUUACACUAAGGGAUAGCCCAGAGAAAUUUGGAUUAAUACCUUAUAGUAUAUGACUGGGACAUCCCUAACAUAUUAAAGUCACAACGGUGUAAGAUGAGCAUGCGUCCCAUUAGCUAGUUGGUAUGGUAACGGCAUACCAAGGCAAUGAUGGGUAGGGGUCCUGAGAGGGAGAUCCCCCACACUGGUACUGAGACACGGACCAGACUCCUACGGGAGGCAGCAGUGAGGAAUAUUGGUCAAUGGGCGCAAGCCUGAACCAGCCAUGCCGCGUGCAGGAUGACGCAUCUAUGGUGUGUAAACUGCUUUUGUACGGGAAGAAACCCUGCCACGUGUGGCAGAUUGACGGUACCGUAAGAAUAAGGAUCGGCUAACUCCGU
rnacentral:rRNA from 1 species